ensembl:lncRNA
UACAAACAUAAGUGACUGGAUAUUUUUUUAAAAAGCAUUUCACCAAGAGAUUUCUGGAAUUAACUUAUUGUGUGACCUUCAGAAGUCCUUUAACUAUUUUGAGGCUUUGUUUCUUCAUCUAUGAAAUAAGGGGAUUGGAGUCAAUAACGCUUUACAGUCUUAUCAGCUCUUGAUAUUCUCUGAGCAUAUGCUUCUGCUAGCUAGGAGAAUAUCAACGUAAUGGGACACUGUAAUGUAUUAAUUUCUUUGCUCUGGUGGCUGAAGGAGAAUCUCAGGAAAAACAAAUAAGUAGAAUGGACAAACUUGUUUUGUGUUGUUCGGGCCUCAUUUGUCUUAAGGUAUACUAAUGGAUUUUAUGUUUCAGAGUAUCAAAGAAGUUAACAGCACCCCUGAAGAUUAUCCUCAACCAAGCUUAUAUAUAGUAAAAGCCAUUGGCUCAUUGACAAUAAUUCAUCAAAGUAUAGAAGAGGAAAAGAUGUAUUGAGAAGUAUUGAUGCUUUGAGUUUAAUGAAGAAGUUCCCCAAGAUGAAGAGAGAUGAAAUUUGAGAGUGGGGAUGGAUUUCCUGAUUGACAGGGACCUGUUCAGUUGCAGUACCUAUGGUGAGACAGAAAACGUAGAGAAUGGUGGAGUGUUAUUUCUGGUGGGAUAAAGCUCCAGAACAAUUUCAGAAGAGUCAUUAUGUUCUUCUGUCCUGGUACCUAAGGAGAAAUGCUUUCACCAGGGAAUCCAGAUGUUCCAUUAAGAGAAGCCAUGACAAAAGCUGCAGAGUGAAAGCAAUGGAGAUGAGAAUGGCACAGAAAAAAAGCUACGUCCUAGAACUGCCCUCGGAAAUGAUUAAGAUAAAUUCCUUUUUGGCCUAAUACACUAAGGAAAGGGGGAAAUUGACAUUCAGGUUACUUUUUAAAUGAAAUUUUUAUUACAUUCUUUAAUACAAAGUUUUAUAAGUCCGGGAUUAUGCAUGUUCUUCAGUAAAAUAAGCAUCACAUUUAUAAUACUUAUGUUUAACAUAUUUUGAAUGAAUUAGAUUCUAUACGAUAAGACAAUUUUAUUUCACCUACAGUCUUUUCACACACUCCUCCUGAAUAUAAUCCCCAAAACACAUGUUUUUCUUUCACUUUCUGGUUCCCCAUUUUCUCUCCUUAUUUGCUGUUUUAUCCCCUUUGGUAUGACAGGGCAAGUUUCAGGAGGUCAAUGAAGAUAUAGGGAAGGUUUUCAGAUGAUUGGUUUCAUGUAAUUGGGUCAUGUAGUAAUCUAUAUUUGGUAGAUUCAAAACUUCUUGAGCUUUCCCUUAGGUGGUGCUUAUGUGGGUUUCCUAAAAAAUUUGUUUGCUGUGCAUUUCAGCAGUUCACACUGUCAAGUAAAAAAUUUUCCUUCUGAUUGGCCAUUUUCUCCUACAACCCCUGGUUGGUCCUCUGUUUGCAUAUCCUGGACUCUUCAGGCAUAACUAUUGGACAGCGAUGGCUCAGUCUAACUCCAUUGUGCUAGGUUCACAGGAGAGUUAUAGGCAUCCUUACCCCAUCAGUUUCUGCGGGUGUCAGCUAUCCCUGCUCUGCUGCCCACAGUAGCGACUCUAGUCAUUAUUGCUCACCUUUGACUUGUGUAGUUGGAGCCAGUAUCCCCUGAGUUCCACGACCUCAGAGCAAAUCCUUUCAGUGUUUAUUUUGAAGACCCUCAAUUGGCUUGAUACAGAUAAAAACACUUCUUCUCAUUCCCCAUGAGUUAGAGUUGAGAAAGAAAAUACAAGGCAAGCCAUCACCUCUCUUUACAAACUUUAAAAACUUUUCUUGAUUCCAUAAAUAAUUCACAUACACCUGGAUCUACAUAUUCAUAUAUACAUAUAUGUAUAUGUAAAUACAUACACAAAC